rnacentral:rRNA from 1 species
ACCCUUAGAUGUUCUGGGCUGCACGCGCGCUACACUGAUGCGCUCAACGAGUUUACGACCUUGCUUGGAAAGGUUGGGUAAUCUUCUUAAAACGCAUCGUGAUGGGGAUAGAUUAUUGCAAUUAUUAAUCUUCAACGAGGAAUUCCUAGUAAGCGCGAGUCAUCAGCUCGUGCUGAUUACGUCCCUGCCCUUUGUACACACCGCCCGUCGCUCCUACCGAUUGAGUGCUACGGUGAAUAAUUCGGACUGCAGCAACGUUCGGUUCCUGAAUGUUGCAGUGGAAAGUUUAUUGAACCUUAUCACUUAGAGGAAGGAGAAGUCGUAACA